GACCCGGUAGCGGCCGGUACCGCGCUCGCGCCUUGUGAAAAGCCGCCAUAUCAAAAGUGCUGCGGGUGGUCCUGGUUCGACUCCAGGCUGGGUUA